AUUGAACGCUGGCGGCAUGCUUUACACAUGCAAGUCGGACGGCAGCGGGGUAGUGCUUGCACUACUGCCGGCGAGUGGCGAACGGGUGAGUAAUAUAUUGGAACGUACCGAGUAAUGGGGGAUAACCAAUCGAAAGAUUGGCUAAUACCGCAUACGCCCUGAGGAGGAAAGCAGGGGACCUUCGGGCCUUGCGUUAUUCGAGCGGCCAAUAUCUGAUUAGCUAGUUGGUGGGGUAAGGGCCUACCAAGGCGACGAUCAGUAGCGGGUCUGAGAGGAUGAUCCGCCACACUGGGACUGAGACACGGCCCAGACUCCUACGGGAGGCAGCAGUGGGGAAUUUUGGACAAUGGGCGCAAGCCUGAUCCAGCCAUGCCGCGUGUCUGAAGAAGGCCUUCGGGUUGUAAAGGACUUUUGUUAGGGAAGAAAAAGGAGCGGUUAAUACCCGUUUCUGCUGACGGUACCUAAAGAAUAAGCACCGGCUAACUACGUG
rnacentral:rRNA from 1 species